UACGGGGGGGGCAAGCGUUGUUCGGAAUUACUGGGCGUAAAGGGCUCGUAGGGGGCCAACUAAGUCAGACGUGAAAUCCCUCGGCUUAACCGGGGAACUGCGUCUGAUACUGGAUGGCUUGAGUUUGGGAGAGGGACGCGGAAUUCCAGGUGUAGCGGUGAAAUGCGUAGAUAUCUGGAGGAACACCGGUGGCGAAGGCGGCGUCCUGGACCAACACUGACACUGAGGAGCGAAAGCCAGGGGAGCAAACGGG
rnacentral:rRNA from 1 species